AUUGAACGCUGGCGGCAGGCUUAACACAUGCAAGUCGAGCGGAAACGAAGGUAGCUUGCUACCAGGCGUCGAGCGGCGGACGGGUGAGUAACGCGUAGGAAUCUGCCUAGUAGAGGGGGACAACAUGUGGAAACGCAUGCUAAUACCGCAUACGCCCUGAGGGGGAAAGGAGGGGAUCACUUGUGACCUUCCGCUAUUAGAUGAGCCUGCGUGAGAUUAGCUAGUUGGUAGGGUAAAGGCCUACCAAGGCGACGAUCUCUAACUGGUCUGAGAGGAUGACCAGUCACACUGGGACUGAGACACGGCCCAGACUCCUACGGGAGGCAGCAGUGGGGAAUAUUGGACAAUGGGCGCAAGCCUGAUCCAGCCAUGCCGCGUGUGUGAAGAAGGCCUUAGGGUUGUAAAGCACUUUCAGGGGUGAGGAAGGGUGAGUCGCUAAUAUCGACUUAUCUUGACGUUAGCCCCAGAAGAAGCACCGGCUAACUCUGUGCCAGCAGCCGCGGUAAUACAGAGGGUGCAAGCGUUAAUCGGAAUUACUGGGCGUAAAGCGCGCGUAGGUGGUUUGUUAAGUCUGAUGUGAAAUCCCAGGGCUCAACCUUGGAAUGGCACCGGAUACUGGCUAGCUAGAGUAUGGUAGAGGGGUGUGGAAUUUCCUGUGUAGCGGUGAAAUGCGUAGAUAUAGGAAGGAACAUCAGUGGCGAAGGCGACACCCUGGACUAAUACUGAC
rnacentral:rRNA from 1 species